GAGACCAUCAGGCUGCCUACUGGAGCUUUGGCUGCUUUUCUAGCCAAAUAGGAAAUGUAACAUUAUUCUAUGAGCCCAACUGAGAAAAUGAAUGGAAGUUCAACUAAGUAAGAUGUCAGCCCAACUUAAGGACUUAGGCAUCUGGCAUUUCCACAAGUCAAGAAACAGCAGAAGAUACUGGACGCGGUGGCUCACGCCUGUAAUCUCAGCACUUUGGGAAGCCAAGGUGGGCAGAUCAUGAGGUCAAGAGAUCAAGACCAUCCUGGCCAACAUGGUGAAACCCCCAUCUCUACUAAAAAUACAAAAACUACCUGGGCGUGGUGGCGCGUGCCUAUAGUUCCAGCUACUCAGGAGGCUGAGGCAGGAGAAUCGCUUGAACCUGGGAGGCAGAGGUUGCAGUGAGCCGAGAUUGUGCCGCUGUACUCCAGCCUGGGUGACAGAGUGAGACUCCAUCUCAAAAAAAAAAAAAAGAAACAGCAGAAGAUGGACAAGAGACUCUGCCUCCCAUCUUCCCUUCACAACUCACCCUCCUUACCCCAACUACCUCCUUCCGGUGGCUUGGUUUUGAGGCCAUGUUGUAAAUUAGCUGCAAAAGAAGACCAGGGAAGACGUUUCUCCUACACCUUGCAAGCCCCCCUGUAUUUUCAGUAUUUCUGGUAAGGACCUCACCACAUGUGGUGCAGAGCAUGGUGCUAUGCAGAAUGAUGUAGAGAGAAUGAAUUUUCCCUUUCCAGACACAUUUUAUGUUAUCACUGUUGUCAAAGCAGAUGAAAAAUCAGGUUGCCGCUGAGUCACAGCCUCCACAAUGGCACACCCCCUCUCCUCCAUGUGUCCAGAGAACUGAUGUAAUUUCUUAAGAGAUUUCUCAGGAAAACGUGAUUCUUUCUGUGUAUCUCCCAGUAAUGUUACUUUGGUUUAUGCUCAUAAAAGCAUAGGUUGGCUGUAAUCUUAAUUAGCCCUCACUGAACAAUAUUUUUCUUAUUUUUUUCCUAGGGUUUUCUUCAGUAACCAUAUCUAAUUUUUUUGUCAUAGCAGUGUGCCCCAAGAAAAAGUUUCAGACAGCAGAAACAGAUCUAAAGAUUAAUAGCAUAUAAAAGAUUUUCUACUUUUUUUCCCAAAAAGUGAAGCUAAUCUGAAUGAAAUAUAAGAAAGUGUAAUUUUUCUAGACGUUUAUGUCUGUACCACAGCAGGGGGGUUCCCUUGUAAAUGAGUUAUCUUUUUUUUCCAAAAAGAAGUUUAUUGCAAGGAGGCUUAUUAACUAGUCCUGGGAGUUGAUGAAAGUCCCAUCUCUUUGCCUGGGGUGUGUAACUCAGUGGGAGUCAGUUCCACACGGAGUUUUGGUGGCGAUGAUCUCACUAUUUUAUACCUCAUGUCUACACUUUAGUUUAUGUAAAAAAGUUCCUUUCCCUGAUGAAAAAUGUCCCGUCUGUGACAAAGUUGUUCUUGCCUUUUCGUGUGUCCUUUUUUCCUCCCAGUUGGACAUGAAUCACACUCUUCAUAUUUUGGUAUGUAGUAGUUAUUAAUUAAUUCAACCAGUUGAAGACAGUCCCAUGCCAGAUUGUUACUGGCACUUGUUAUUUGACAUCUGUGGGUACAACUGGUAAUGAGCAGGCUUUAUCUGAAAUCCUCAGUCAGCAGCACAAUAUUCCAGGAGAUGGGACCAUCACAGCUAGCAUGCACGCCCUGCUGCUUUCUGCCUCCCACCUAAAGGCUAGGAGAUGGCCACAUAGAUGCAAUGAUCUAGGGCUAAUAAAGUAUGGGCUUCCCUAAAGUUGCUUCCUUACUGGACUACUAGAAUAACAUUAAAGUUAAUUUAAAAAUUUCUAAUUGAUAUAUAAUAUUUGUACCUUUUUAUAGGGUUCAUAUAUUUUGUUACAGGCAUAGAAUGUAUAAUAAUCAAG
rnacentral:lncRNA from 10 species